rnacentral:lncRNA from 1 species
CCCGAGUUUUCGUCUUUCUCUACGAAUGAUUAUUAUCUAUAUCGAUUGUCUCCACCGAGCAAGCAAGUCCCUAUUUUCUCUUUGAAUCGGGUUUCGAGUAGGAUCGUUAAAGAGAAUAUCGAUCGGCGGGCGAUCGGCAGCGAUAUCGAUCGCGGAGAGAUCGAGAGAUACGUACGAGGAGGAGGAGGAGGAGGAGAAGAGCGAGAGAACAGAGAGCACGAGCGGCGUUUUCAAAAUGUUGUAUACAUAUACACGCAUGUACAAACACGUGACGCGUAUAUACACGCGUGUUACACGGACAAUGCGUUUUUCCGCGACAUACAUUCACACACACACACAUACACAUAUAGAUAUAAUCCAAUCGCGGUAAUAUCGACUUUGCAUUCAAAGUUUCUAUUUUUUUCUUUGGAGCAAUUUUUUUUAAUCGAAUUCAAAAACACACAUGGAUACAUACAUACACACACACGUACGUAUUCUCCCUCCGAUGGCGAUGCUUUUUUGUUUUGCACGUGGAAAGCUUUCUUUCGUUACUUAAUAUCGUGUAGAAAGAAGAGAAAAAUGAAACGAUGGAAGAGGAAAAUUUAUUAUAUACGGAGAGAACAAAGGAGAGCGAGGGGAAUUAAUAAUGAAAGGGAAAUAAAAUAAAAAAGAGUAAAAUAAAAUAAAAUAAAACGGAAGUACGAGAUGGAGGGGCAGAAGAUCGAUGUUCGCGGGAUUAAAAGAAAGAGAAAUUUAAAAAAAAGGGGGGGAGAAAAAAUGAGAAUAAAUGGAGCAAACUGAAAGGCGGAAGUUGAAAUCGAAAUAGGAGGCGGCUCGUGGUGAGUUUGUUGAAUUUUUGGGAAUUCGAACGAUCGCGUCACGGAACAACUCGUUAUAGCUCGUUUUCGACUGAGAGCACUUUCUUUUCUUUUUUUUUUAUUGCUUACAAGAAAAGAGGAAAUAAAAAGAAAAAAAAAGAACCCACGAGAGAUAUCGUACGUGUUAAAAAUUGAAAAAAAAAAAAGCAAGGGCUGAAUGAAAAGAUCGAACGAUCGAUGACGAACGAAUUAGGUAUAUGGGAGAACAAAGAAAAGGAAACUAAUAGAAAUACAAUUCUGAGUGCCACCUAUACCGAAUAAAACUGCAAUGUCCUUUAUACAGACAACCAAAAAAAAAAAAAAAGAAAAAAAGAAAAAAAAGAAACAAAUUAAUAAAUAAAUAUAUAUAAAAGGAAAUUGACGAGAAAAUAUGGGACAAGCGAGAAAAUGGGGAAAAUUAUUAAUAUGAGAGAGAAUUUAGAUAAUUACUAAUAUUAUAUUAUUAUUAUGAUCAUUCUUACGAUUAUUAUUAUUAUUGUUAUUAUUAUUAUAUUAUAUUAUUAUAUUAUUAUUGCCAUAAAGUAGGGAAGAAACGCAAGCGCGAUGGGGAGGAGGCGAAGAUUAUAGAAAAUACCGAUGGUAUGAAAAUGGUUGACAAAAAAAAAAGAAAGAAAGAAAGAAAGAAAGAAAGAAAGAAAGAAAAGAACAAGAGAAAGAAACAACAAUUGCCUGCGCAAUAACGGUAUAUAUAUGUGUAUAUACAUGUUAUACGUACAUUUGCUCGUGUACGUAUAUACACUAGUGCCGUGUGUAUGCGUAUACACGUUGUAAAAAAAAAAAAAAAAUUUUUUACAAGAUAUAUCUCGAAUAUUAAUUGAUAACUUCUAAGCGUACGUUGGUUUCUCUUCCUCACUUUUCGUUCUCGACCUCCCGAGUGUUUACUUUUUUUCACCCCCGUUCGGCGAUUUAUCACGCAAUGAUAAGGGUGGAAAGCGAUGAUCGAUGAUUCUCGAUCGUUCUUUCUUAUACGAUAAUCCGUUUUCUUCUGAGAGCGAGCUGACAACUCUAGAGAAGAUUUUUCUUCCCACUUUAAGAUAUUAUUAUUAUUAUUUUGCCAAUGAGAGGAUGUCGAGAUUCAACACGAUUGCUAAAAGGAAAAAAAAAAAAAAUUCUUGACAAUAAUUUGGAAAUUAAUAAUUUGAUUACUCGAUAUCGAAAUAUUGAUCGAUAUCGUCACAUAUCACUUUGAAGAAUGAAAAAUCGAAGAUUGAAACUUUCUUUGUUGUCGAUCGAAACGAGUUAUAAUAGAAAUGAACGAAAUGUAUGUAAAUUUAAAAAAAGGAGAAAAUAUAGGUCGUAAUAAGGGACAAGUGUGGAAAGGAAGAAAAGACGAAGGGAUGAAAAGAAAGAAGUUUGCUCGAUCGAGGAUCAUCGAUCACGGAUUCGUUCUUUGCUCAGUAUUUUAGGCUGUAAAUGAUACCGAUACAUUCGAUGUAACGAUUAAAUGAAAUCGUAGAGUUACUUUGUAACGAGAGAGGAGCAGCGGCGCAGCGCUAAAGAGAAGCAGCUUUUUAAUUACAAAUAGCAAUUAUCUUUGAUUAUUACCAGUAGUACACGCAGCACACGUGGAUUUUCGCACUUAGGUACACGGCGAAACGAAUGCGGAUUUAUUGUUCUUUAUAGAAAAAAAAAAAAAAAAAAGGAAAAAAAAAAUAAAAAAGAAUAAUGGAUGUUCAGAACAUGGUCCAAAAAAGAGGACAACAGUGAUCACAAAAAGAGAGAGAGAAAAAAACAAAAACAAUAACUUUUAUUCGUUUCUAAAAUUAAUAUUCAUAUCAGUGGAACAUUCGUUACGAAUCUUUUCUUUUUUUUUUUUUUUUUUUUUUUUUUUUUUCUUUAAACAAAAUCGAUGAAAAUUGUUUCCAACGUUUUCGCGACGAUUCAAUGAUUCUGAAAAUCGUUCUGCGACGAGAUAUGGAAAAGUUUAUUCGAAAAGAUUAAUUAUUUCAUUUCGAAUGAUUUCGAAAUCGAAGAAACGACGCUUAAUUUUAAUCCAAGUGUGAUGAACGAUGAAUGCACAACGAUAAAUAGAAUUUUUAUUUCUAAGGAAUCAGCUUGUCAAACGUCGAAAGUGUCUACAUUACCUGUUCAUUUUCAAAUCGUUGAUCAAUGUAUCUGUCCAAGAAUGAAGAGAAAAAAACAGUAAAAAAUUCUCUUAUGUUUCUUAGAUCCGAUUUUUCUUUACCAGUCGUUAAAAAAUAUAGCAUAUCCGACGAUAUUUCGAUAGAUCGAGUCACUGCUGUUCUCGAAAUCUACGCGAACCGAUCUAUGUGAAGAUGCGAGACGAGAGCUCUUAGUAUUUCUUUUAGUAUUUCUUUUUUUUUUUUUUUUUUUCCCUCCCCCCUCGAGAAAUGAUAAUUUCCUCCCGCUUGGGUUGAAAAAAAAAAAAAAAAAAAAAAAAACGAUAGAGAAAAGAAAAGAGCCGGAUACCAAAAGACGUCCAUUGCAUCAUUCCCUUUGGAGGAUAAUUUCGCGAUAAUUAUUGAUUAAUAAUUUCAGAUUCAAACUUCGUACAUCCUUUUGAACAUCGAAUUUUUGCGAAGAUUUUUUAGGAUAAACACGAGUGAAUAAUAAAUACCCAUCGACAUAAUUCGAAUACAUCUUCGACGAAUCGAAACGUAAAAGCGUUGUAAAUUUGAAAAUUUUUUACUCGCGACGACGCGAAAGAUGCAUUUAUUCGUUUCCCCGAGAGAAAUAUAUUCGACGACGCGUAACUUUGUUAAGUGUUUGACGGGAUUUGAUGAACUCUUUUCUAUGUUGAAUAACUGAUAGAUGAAGAAUUUCGAAGGAAAAAAGAAAAAAAAAAAAAGACAACUGUUCAGUAGGAAGAUCGACUCGAUGAUGCAAAAAAAAAAAAAAACGCGAUUCACAUCAGAGAUCCGCUCUUUUUUUCUGACCGCAAGAAUAUCAAAAUCGAGAGAAGCAAAAAAAAAAAAAAAAA